GAGGCUUGCAGGAUCUUGACCUGCCCUCAUGGAUCCCUGUGGCUUCUCCAGCACUGCAGUGUCUGUCCUUGAACACAGGAUCCAAGACAUCUGUGAUGCUCUGCUGGCCUCUGCCUUGCCCCAGGUGUCCUUCAGCAGCUCUUCAGAGCUGUCCAGUAGCCAUGGCUUUGGCUUUGCAAGUCUAAAUCAGAGAGAUGGUGAGUCAGCUGUUGUUUCUGCUCCUUCCUCAGAGAGAGCUUGCAUCU
rnacentral:lncRNA from 1 species